rnacentral:lncRNA from 1 species
AUGCCCCCUCACCCUGACCAAGUGCCCCAGGGUUGCUGGCUGGCCCUCCCUGAGAGUAGCUGGGGUGUGCAGCCGCCCCCACGGGCCUCUAGCCCGGCCCCAGGCCGGGAGUGUGUGGGGUGGGGCCAAGGCCCAUGGUAUCGGGCCUGGGGCAGGCUCCUCUGUGGGAUGGAGCAAUCAGGGCGGGGAGCAUGGAGGAGGUUUCUACAACGCUGCACACCCCAGAUGGACCCACUGAUUGGGGGGGUGGGGCCGGGCCCCCACCUUCCUGUCCUAAAAGAACUCUGGGGACCCAGCAUCCCUCACAGCUCGCAGCUUUCUGGCCGGGACAGGUGUCUCGGUGCUCAGUUUUCAGCCGAGUCUCAGGAGUUCAGGCCCUGCCCUCCUCCCUCAGACCCAGGAGUCCAGCCCCAGCCCUCCUCCCUCAGACCCAGGGGUCCAGUCCCAGCCCUUCCUCCCUCAGCCCCAGGAGUCCAGCCCCAGCCCUCCUCCCUCAGACCCAGAUGCUCAGCACCAGCCCCUCCUCCCUCAGCCCCAGGAGUCCAGCCCCAGUCCUCCUCCCUCAGACCCAGGGGUCCAGCCCCAGCCCCUCCUCCCUCAGACCCAGGAGUCCAGCCCCAGCCCCUCCUCCCUCAGACCCAGGGGUCCAGCCCCAGCCCCUCCUCCCUCAGCCCCAGGAGUCCAGCCCAGCCCUCCUCCCUCAGACCCAGGGGUCCAGGCCCAGCCCUCCUCCCUCAGACCCAGGGGUCCAGCCCCAGCCCUCCUCCCUCAGACCCAGGAGUCCAGCCCCAGUCCUCCUCCCUCAGACCCAGGAGUACAGCCCCAGCCCUCCUCCCUCAGACCCAGGAGUCCAGCCCCAGUCCCUCCUCCCUCAGACCCAGGAGUCCAGCCCCAGUCCUCCUCUCUCAGACCCAGGGGUCCAGGCCCAGCCCUCCUCCCUCAGACCCAGGGGUCCAGGCCCAGCCCUCCUCCCUCAGACCCAGGAGUCCAGCCCAGUCCCUCCUCCCUCAGACCCAGGAAUCCAGCCCCAGCCCUCCUCCCUCAGACCCAGGGGUCCAGCCUAGCCCUCCUCCCUCAGACCCAGGAGUCCAGCCCCUGCCCUCCUCCCUCAGACCCAGGGGUCCAGGCCCCCUGCCCUCCUCUCUCAGACCCAGGGGUCCAGGCCCCCUGCCCUCCUCUCUCAGACCCAGGGGUCCAGGCCUACCUCCUCCCCAACCCACGCAGCCUCCCUGCCUGGUUGUUGCUUCCUUCCUGACUUGGGAUCUGGGCCCCUGCCUGCUGCCCCCCAGGGGCCAGCCAGAGCUGCUGUCUGCUCAGCUCUCCCGGAACGCAUGGCUGGCAGUUACCAGCUUUCAGAGGCAAGGUCGGGCUGUAGAGGUGACAGUGGCCUGGUUCUGUGUGAACAGCGACCUCAUGACCCAGUGA